rnacentral:tRNA from 1 species
UUCCCCUUCGUCUAGAGGCCUAGGACACCGCCCUUUCACGGCGGUAACAGGGGUUCGAAUCCCCUAGGGGACGCCA